GUCAAAUGUUUAUUUCAUGACAAAAAUGAGGAAUGUUGGUGUAUUACUCUGCAUUGUAAAGUGUAACAAGUUCAGAGUAAGCUAACUGGAAGCUUGGAAACCAAGGAUGGAUAGAUCCUCAGAUAGAUUUUUAUAUCAGUAAAGAAUUGCAUUUGGCUUCCAGUGACAGACUUGUGUGAUUUAAAUAUAUAUGGUUGUACACUUGUCAAUCAAAGUAUAGAGCUAGGCAGACACUGAGUUCAGUAGCUCAUGAGUGUCAGGGAUGCUGGGAUACAUUUCUUAGCCUUCUACUCAGUCCCCAAAUGGCUGCUAGACCUCAGGACCGUGCAAGCAGUUUUUGAGAAAGAAGAAAAGGGGUUUUUGUCAGCUUCAUAAACUUUUCCAGAGGUCUUAUCCAACUGUUUAUUACAUCUUCCUUAUGAGAUAUGCUUACCUCUUACUGUAUUCCCUAAGAGCAAUCGAGACUGUGAGAGACAAUCUCUUCCACAUCUCUCUCCUACAUUCUGAUGGAUUUCUAGCCGUUUUGAUUUUCUUUCUUUAUAGAAGCCUCACCCUGGUCUCAGCCUUCAUCUGGACGUGGUGUUCUGCUUUUAUCUUCACAUAGUGUCUGACUCCAUGCGAAUUUCUCAUUUUAUGAGAACACCAUUCAUAUUGGAUUAGGGCCCUAAUGACUUCAUCUUAACUUAAUUACAUCUUCAAAGACCCUUCCCAAAUGAGACCAUACUGGGAGUUAGAACCUCAACAUAUACUUUUGAAGGAACAUAAUUCAAUAUGUAACAGUUGGUGUGCAAAUUACUUAAUCAGAAAAAUGAAACCGCAACCUCCACAUUGCAACAACCUUUUUUUUUACCCCUCCAUUUUAUGAAGAAAUGAUAUACUAUAGAGAUAUUUAAGCAAUUUAAGUGCCAACUAAGUAGCAUACAUUGGAAAUACUGCUUUUAGUACAUAAUUAUGAAUAUAUAUGGUAAGUCUAGAUUACAGGUGGGUUGCUCCUGACUCUGAAGAUACAGAUUUACUUCACAUUAUAGCUGUACAAUUAACCAGCGUUCAGCACAACAGCUCACUUUUCUCAAAAUAACACUUUUUUGAAAAUUUUUUUCAUUCCCAAAUAUACUGAAAACUAUAUACUAAAUCAAUAGUACAUUUCCAGAAAAAGACAGAAUUGCCACUUAGUUAACACAAUCAUUUCUAAUAUCUUUUGCAACAAAUUCAAAUUAAGCAUCAUGUUUGGAUGAAACAAAAGGUUGUUGUUCUGUGUUAGUAUGCCAGGUGGGAAGAUGUAGCAUCUUUUGAAUCUUUAUUCUCUUCUGUACAUGUUUCCAUGUGUCUCCACAUGUUCUACUGUUUGUAGGUUUUAGCCUUUAUUUUUGUCACAGUCUUAAGAAAAAGGAAUUCUUUUCCAGGAUUUAAUUGUGCCGCCAAAAAGACAAGGUCAAGGUUUGAACUCUGGUACCUGUGAAUAGGAGCUUAUUUGAAGUAGGGUCUUUGUAGAUGGAAUCAACUUAUGAUAAAAUCAUAAGGGAGGAUGGAUGCUCAUCAAAAGAUUGAUGGCUUCCUAAGAAGAGGGGAAUUUGGACACAGAAGGAGAAGACCAUGGGAAGACAGAGACAGGGAAUAAAAUGAUAUAUCUACAAGCCACAGAAUGCCAAGGAUUACAGGGAGUCUCCAGAAGCUAAGAGAGAGGCCUGGGACAGACUCUCCCCCGGAGACUCCAGAAAGCGUGCCAAGACUUUCGGACUUGAUUUCAGACCUCUGGCUUACAGAACUAUGAGAGAACUAAUGUCUGUUGUUUCAAACCACCCAGCUUGUGCUAUUUCUUAUGGCAGCCCUAGGAAACUAAUGUGUCCAGUACAUCCAAUUGUGAUGUCAAAUUCCUGUCUGAAGAUAAGCACCAACUGCCAUCCUUGAAGCUCUGCCUGCCUUAGACAAGGUUUCAGGAAUGAAGUUAAAAUCAUUAAAUGAGCCAUAGAGUUUACUAUUAAUAUAUGAUUCUGAUGAUCACAGCCUGAAUAAAGAAAAAAGAUAUUUCUAGCAAGAAUAAGUCUGCCUUCACCUCCUUCUCCCAAAACAGAAGUUCCUUGAAUUCACGUAUCUUAGUCACUGAUGAAUCCCAAAAACCUAAGGCUGUCUGGUGUAUAACAGAUGCCCAGUGGUUACUCCAUUUUUUAAAAUGAGAACUGCAGUAGAAACUGGUGCAUAGCAUCAGCUGAAGUAUUCUGAUGGCAGCAGAAGUGGCCAAGGCCUGACGGUCCUUUCUGCAGUGGUGCUCUGGGAGUCAGUGCUUCAGGCCCACUUAGAGCUCUCCUGCCCUGCAAAAAUUUGGUUAAAUGAGGUCAUCUUGGAUCAAUAGGACUAGUGUCUUUAUGAGAAAAGGAAGAGAUUACAGGAAUGCACGUGAGCAGAGGAAAGGCCAUGUGAGAACAAACCAAGAAGGCAGCCAUCUGCAAGCCCCAGAGUGAGGCCUCAGAAGACAUGAACCCUGCCAGCACCUGGAUCUUGCACUUCCAGCCUGCAGAACAGUGAGAAGAAAGUUAUGCUAUUUAAGAUAACUGUGUGAGGUAUUAAUAUUUUGUUAUGGCAGCCCUAGCAAAGUAAUAUAGUUGGAAACUGCUCUGUGUUUUUUAAUUUAGUCCUAAAAAUGACUCACAUCUAUCCAUUUUAGAACUACUAGCAUACAUGAUAACAAAUGUGUCAAUUAGAGGCUUUUGAAAAAAAUUCAAUUUGGAUGAAAUUAGACACAGUUUCACGUCUCUGAGUUUAACAUGUAAUUUAGAGCAGUAGAGACUUCCACCUUUACAAAUCACUGUGUUAAUAUUAUCACCAAUGUUUGUUGUAAAAUAUUUAGAAAACA